rnacentral:rRNA from 1 species
UACAGAGGGUGCGAGCGUUAAUCGGAAUUACUGGGCGUAAAGCGCACGUAGGUGGCGACGUAAGUCGGGUGUGAAAGCCCCGGGCCCAACCUCGGAACUGCAUCCGAGACUGCACGGCUGGAGUACCGGAGAGGAUGGCGGAAUUUCCGGUGUAGAGGUGAAAUUCGUAGAUAUCGGAAGGAACACCAGUGGCGAAGGCGGCCAUCUGGACGGUGACUGACGCUGAGACGCGAAAGCGUGGGGAGCAAACAGG